UACAGAGGUCUCAAGCGUUGUUCGGAUUCAUUGGGCGUAAAGGGUGCGUAGGUGGCGCCGUAAGUCGGGUGUGAAAUUUCGGAGCUUAACUCCGAAACUGCAUUCGAUACUGCGGUGCUUGAGGACUGGAGAGGAGACUGGAAUUCAUGGUGUAGCAGUGAAAUGCGUAGAGAUCAUGAGGAAGACCAGUGGCGAAGGCGAGUCUCUGGACAGUUACUGACGCUGAGGCACGAAGGCCAGGGGAGCAAACGGG
rnacentral:rRNA from 1 species